ACCACUGUACCACUAGUAGUUUGCUAGAUGGUUAUGGUUAAAAAUUAAUAUUUCUAAUGUCCACUUUACAUCAACAAUAAAUUGAAUAAGAAAUUGACAAAGUUAUUCAAUACGAAAUUUGACGAGUACAAAAUGUAUGGUUUGUAAAAGAAAGUGAAAUAAUUUGAUGAAAUAGAACAAUUGGAUAUGUUUUAUUUUGUCAAUUUUCUUUUUAUUCACGGCAAAAUUGGAUGUAGAAUUGUGUUUUGUAUAAGCCAAAUUUGACCUUAAAUAACUUUGUCAAUUUCUUGUUCAAUUUAUUGUUGAUGUAAAGUGGACUUAACAUGUUCAUUAAACAUCACUUCAGCUUCAAAACCUUCCCCAGAAUCGAUAUCUGACAUUAAAUCGUUGUCUUCUAUGAAAAAAGAAAAUAAUAAAUUAUCCAUUUUUAUAAGAUUAAUUUGAAAAAAAAAAGAAUUAAUAAUUAUUUAAACGGAAAUCAAGAUUCACAGGUACUAAUAGCGUAAAUUGUGGAUUAUUCUAUUAUUGAAUCAUCAGCUGAUCUCAUAGCAGUGACCAGUAAAAAUAAAAACAAUCCUAACUGCGCAAGUCAGUACAAAUAGUUUCUGCUUGAAGGCAUGUAUCAAAAGGGCCGUUCAGUUACCGAUUUCGAAGCGGUACAUGGAUCGCUUGGAACAACACGGUGUACGAUACCAAUCAUCGUUCAUGUUCGCUUGGAACGCAUUUUUUAUAAUGCGCAUGACGAGGGCAGUACGAAGGACGGUUUUCAUGUCACUUGGAAGCUGUAUGAGCUUUCGUAACGUUCGGUUGUGUGACAGUUCAGUGUGGAAGUGAUAAUUCAAAAAAAAACGCAGGCGACAAAAACAAAAUAGGAACUACAUAAUAGAGCUACAGAAAAACAAGAAGAAGGACAAGGACCACAUAGGACCAAAAAAAAAAAAAUAGAUCUGAAGUUGACAGGACACCUGGUUGUGCAUUGCCUUGAGCAAGACGCGCAUAACCAAUAA